UACGGGGGGGGCAAGCGUUAUUCGGAAUCACUGGGCUUAAAGGGCGCGUAGGCGGGCCGCCAGGUCCGGGGUGAAAGCCUCCAGCUCAACUGGAGAAGUGCCUUGGAUACCGGCGGCCUCGAGGGAGGCAGGGGCGUGCGGAACUUCGGGUGGAGCGGUGAAAUGCGUAGAUAUCCGAAGGAACACCGGUGGCGAAAGCGGCGCGCUGGACCUCUUCUGACGCUGAGGCGCGAAAGCCAGGGGAGCAAACGGG
rnacentral:rRNA from 1 species